rnacentral:rRNA from 1 species
UACGUAGGGGGCAAGCGUUGUCCGGAUUCAUUGGGCGUAAAGAGCGUGUAGGCGGCCAGGUAGGUCGGUUGUGAAAACUGGAGGCUCAACCUUCAGAGGUCGACCGAAACCAUCUGGCUAGAGUCCGGGAGAGGAGAGUGGAAUUCCUGGUGUAGCGGUGAAAUGCGCAGAUAUCAGGAAGAACACCCGUGGCGAAGGCGGCAUCCUGGACCGGCAUUGACGCUGAGGGAGCGAAAGCCAGGGGAGCAAACGGG